rnacentral:rRNA from 1 species
UACAGAGGUGGAAAGCGUUGUUCGGAAUUACUGGGCGUAAAGGGCGCGUAGGCGGCCUUGCAAGUGACGGGUGAAAUCCCUCGGCUUAACCGAGGAACUGCCUGUCAAACUGCAUGGCUUGAGACCGGGAGAGGUGAGUGGAAUUCCCAGUGUAGCGGUGAAAUGCGUAGAUAUUGGGAGGAACACCAGUGGCGAAGGCGGCUCACUGGACCGGUACUGACGCUGAGGCGCGAAAGCGUGGGUAGCAAACAGG